AUGUCUGGACUGGAGGACAUUGAGAUCCAGGCAAAAAACAUCGAUGCUGCAGUAGGAGAGAUAAUUGAUGUUUUGGAGGAUACAAGCAAAGGAAAUAUGAUCUACUUCAAUGGUUGGCAUGGAUGUGGGGCAUCAGCGGCACUCAGGGCAGUAGCUCAACGUCUGAAAUCAUCAAAAUCAAAGUUUGACAAGGUUAUUCAUGUGGACUGUUCGGUGUGGAAAAGCAUGAGGGCCCUGCAAAAGGAAGUAGCGGAGGAGCUGGAUCUUCCGCAUUCUGUGAUGGCCAUCUUUGAUCAGUGCGACGCAGAUGAUGAUUUCAAAGGGAAAGAUGAAGACUCUAGAGGGGUGAUAUCAGAUAUCAGAAGGGAGAUAUUUGAAAAGCUUGCUAGCAGUAGAUUUGUGGUGAUUUUUCACAAUGGGAGUAGCAGAUACAUUGAUUUCUAUGAGUGUGGUGUCCCAGCAAUACCAUUCUUGAGGAACAAAGUGUUGUGGACCUGGCGUGGGAGGUUUCGGCUUGGUCUCGUGCUAGAUGACGGGGAAUUGGAAAAAUGGAGUGUGCAGACUAAUGUUUUUCUCAAUCCCUCUCCUGGACGUGAGGAAGAAUUGCAGGAUCUCGUAGUGCGUGAAGAGGCCGAGGAGGUCGUCAACCGCACGAGGAUUGCGGAGCCUGGCUACCUGAACCACAAGGUAGUCCAGCAGUGUGCCAUGUAUGCAUGGUUACUAAGAAGAAUCACCUCUGCUACAGGUCUGGACUUUUACACCCAUGGACCGAAUUAUUGGGUCUGUGAUGGGAUUAUACAGGGCCAAGGCAAUACAUCAGCAUGGGAAAUUGGCAAUUCGCUGCAGAGGAACAUGUACUUAGAUUGGGUGGGGAGGAACCCGGACGAUGCAAUUUAUUUGGACGAUUUGCUUAUGAGAAACAAUGAUAUUGAUGAUGAUCGCUGGGUUUACGUCACACACAAAGAACCUGGAUGGAGUGAUACUGUGCUGGAUCCUGUGGUGACAUCCUUCUUCUUGUAUGCAGAUGAAUCACCAACAAAUGCAAUACCAAUGUUGCCAGUUAACAUGUUCCAACAUCCAGAAAACAGCAAGCUGCGUGUAUUACAUCUCUCUCGCUGCACCUUUAGUUUUACAUCUCCUCCCUUCGUCCAUUGUGCCCAACUAAGAUUGCUCCAUCUGGACCAUUGCACAAAUACCACAGAUGAUGACGAGCAUCCAAGCCAGAAUGAAGACAUGUCAUGUUUCCAGAAGCUAUUGGUGCUGGUUCUGAGGUAUACAGAUUGGUACUGGCCUCUGUCGGAAAAGAUGAUGAGUUUAAUGACUGACCUCAAGGAGUUGAAUGUGGCGGGAGUCAAGCAUUGGAGCAUAAGCGAUUUGUGUGGUGAUAUUCCUAGCCUUGUCAUACUUCGAGUAACAGCCAACACAGUCACAAUUCAUUCACAAGACAUCAUAAAAAAUAAUGGUGCAUCACUCCUCAACUUGUCCAAGGCAAGUCUCCUGAAGACAGUCAGCCUUGAGAGUUGUGCUGAAUUGGAACAAGUCGCCCCUUUCAUGUUACCCCCAUUGCUCGAGUCAGUUAACUUCAUCAAUAGUGGUGCUAGUGCUGCCAAGAUAUCUAGCAUCUCCUUCCGGGGUUGUUCUCAGUUGAAGAAUAUACUUCUCAAAGGGAAUUUGGGGACCCUGGAGGAGCUGGACCUCUCAGGCACAGCAUUGAAAACCCUUAACCUCAGAGAAGUGGAAGCUCGAAACCUCAAGCGUCUCAUGUUGCUAGGCUGUGAGAAGCUCCGUGCAAUAUUAUGGCCACCAGAAGAUAAAAGGAGAUGGGUUUUGGAGAAGUUGCAGAUCAGCACCGUCCAAUCCGCAUCACCUAGCCAGAAUAAUUGGGAAGAGAAGAUCAAGGAGGCUAGUCCUACUGCAGGAUCAUCAUCUAUCCUUACAUUUGGGGCUUCACCAUUAGGCACCAGGCGAAUUGGAUCUUUUGACUUCAAUUGGUACAUAUCUGUUGCGGAUGCAAGGCUCAUGUGGUCGCUUCUGCCCUUUCAGCUAGAAAUUAAGAGAAACUUUGUAUACUUGGAGAUUGAUUCAUCUCCUGCCAGUGGAGCUGCUGUUGGUCGCCCUGAAGUUGCUCAAGGCAUCGGGAGCCAGCAGCAGUUUGCUCAAUACUUAUAUGCAAGUGAUGUCUUUCAAGAAGAACCGCAAGCUGUCAGUGCUAUCAAAGGUGUGACCAGCUGGAUGUGGGCUUGCCCACCUAUUCCUACUCCAAGUCUUCAAGACUGGUACUUCCACAUGCAAGAUGAAGAGAAGAUGGAGAGAGGAUCAUUACAGCAACAACACAACACUCAAAGAAUCAGUACUAGUGUUGCUUUAGCUCCUGUUUUGAUGUGUGAUAAUGCAGGGAUGUUGUAUGUGCAUGAUAGCUCCUCCAUCACUUGCGUUCCGAGCCCACAAGGUGCAAGGUGGAGGUGGCUUAAAUGGUGCAGAGUUGAGAGGUGCCCCAAGCUAUGCUCUGUCUUUGCCACUCCCCAACUAAGUAGUGAUCAGAUCACCUUUUGGUCCCUGUCUACAUUCUGGGCAUCUCAGCUCCCUAUGGCGUGCUACAUCUGGAACUAG
rnacentral:rRNA from 1 species